GUGAAUCAUCGAAUUUUUGAACGCAAAUUGCGCUUCCUGGCAUCCCGGGAAGUAUGCCUGUUUGAGGGUCAGUAUUAAUAAAAAAUCGGUUUAUUUACAAAUUUCGACGUGUCCGGAGGUAGGGCUAUCUUAACAUUUUUGGUUAAGAGGCUUAAAAUUGACCUUUUUUGCGCAUAUUUAAUCGAACAUAAAUUAUUUUUAUUCGUCUAUUCUUAAUGCAAAAAUCUUAUUACAUACGAUCACAUCGUGUAGCUUCUUGUC
rnacentral:misc_RNA from 1 species